GUUUUGGGGACAGAAUUUUCUUCCAUAGAUGAAGAUUAGGGUUUGGGGGAUAUUGUCAGAAAAAAAUCAGUGCCGAUAACAAAUGUUCUUUUGUGUACAGAUGGGAGGAUUUAUUGGAGUGCUCAGAAAUGUUAUGUACACAAUGUAAACCAAAAUUCGAGUCGUACUUCAAGACUGUUGUUACUUAAUCCAUCCGAGUAUUAACAAUGAAUAGUGUACUCUGUGAAGUACGUGGUGAGUAAAUACUUUUGAUCUUAAAGUGAAACAGAUGUAUCGUAUCGGUUUACUUUGCCUUUUUUUACAAAAAUAGCUGGAGGCCACGAUUUACAUGCCUGAGUAAAGUUAGAAUUUGAACCUUCACUCCAGGCGGUUAACCGUUUGUCUCAUGCUAAAAUCUACAUGCAAAGGGCUUUAUGUGAACCCUUGUUCUGUAAUACGCAUACUUCCCCUCGGUACGCAUUCGCAUGUAUUUUAGAAAUUAUAUUCAUGUUUCACUUUGUGUUAGUCUAUUCACAUUCAAUAAAUAUAUUUUUUGUACGUGUCUCCUCAUUUGCAUAAAUUUCACUAUACCAAUUUUCGGCUAUACGUACUAUCCAUGUUGAACAAACUUCAUGCCUCUCGCGAAGCCAUCAAACUAUGCAAAUGAGGUGACACGCACAAAUAAUUCCACUAUACACGUACAAGGUGUCUGGCGUGGUUAGUUAUUUUUAUCUAAAGCAUCGUUAAAAAAUUCAACCUUUUUGUCCCACGCACAAAACGAGCCACACACUUCACCAUUCAGGCUUACGCAACCAACUUUCCAGACAUAACUUAAACAUUAGAGACAAACUAGAACACCUUUGUACCCAAGCAAUAACGGGAGAAAAUUUUAAAUAGUGUGAGAAACAUAUUGCUAAUUUUCUCCACACAAUUUUUAUCUAAGUUUCUUCAAAAUUCAGGUAGAAUUUCCCUAUAAAUACAUUUAGAGAAUUCAAUCAUGCACGUAGAUAGUUUUUAGUUUGAAACCCACGAAUCGAGAUGGAUCUCACACCACGGGGGAAAUUUGCAUGCUCCACGUGCCCUAAAAGGUUCAAAUGGAAGAAAGAUUUUGAUAGGCACGUGAUCACACACGACCCCGACGCCAAAGUUAAAUGCAAGAUAUGCGGGAAAAUUUCCAAGAACCCAAUCGCCUUGUCUUUUCACAUGAAAAAUCUACACACCAACCGGAAACGGCCCAUUUGCGACAUUUGUGGGCAUGUUUUUCACAACUCUCCCAGUUUACGGAGACACACCGAAGCCAUGCACAGUACUCAUGAACGACCCCGUUUGCCAUGUGCGUUUCCCGGCUGUCGGAAAACCUUCCUACGUAAGCAACAUGUUUCGAGACAUGUAAAAAUCGACCACGCCGAGAAUCCGGUCAGAUUUCGGUGCACAC